UACGAAGGGGGCUAGCGUUGUUCGGAAUUACUGGGCGUAAAGCGCACGUAGGCGGAUCGAUCAGUCAGGGGUGAAAUCCCAGAGCUCAACUCUGGAACUGCCUUUGAUACUGUCGAUCUAGAGUAUGGAAGAGGUGAGUGGAAUUCCGAGUGUAGAGGUGAAAUUCGUAGAUAUUCGGAGGAACACCGGUGGCGAAGGCGGCGACCUGGUCCAUUACUGACGCUGAGGCGCGACAGCGUGGGGGAGCAAACAGG
rnacentral:rRNA from 1 species